GUAUUGACUUUGUCCAUGUGGGCAGCUGCAGAUUUUAUUUUUUCUUGAUGGUGUUAGCUUUAGAGCAUGUGGGUUCUUCUUGGUCAGCAACCUCUCCACUUCUGUUGAUUUAAAAUUUACUUCACUGUGGACAGUGGCACUGGUGUUUCAGCAGCUUCCAGUUUAUGGGAGACUCCAGCCUUGGUGAUUCCUGGCAUGUUCUUGAAUAUCCUAACCAAUUUUCUUUUUUCUGAGGGAGACAGUUUGGGUCAAUUGACAAUGAUCACAUGCACACCUCCAAACUGGUUUUAAAAUGGAUAAAGUUUCCUGAAUGGCCUCCCCAAAGUCCGAACGCUACCCUACCAAAAAUUUAUGAACUGUGUUUGAAAGCCAAGCUUGUGGCAGAAUAUUAACUAAUUUAAAAGAUCUCUACUAGGAGGAGAGCUAAAAUGGACAGCCAGAAGCUUUUUCGGCUGCAAAACAAAAUGGAGUGGAUGUUGGAAUCCAGGUGUGUGCUGUCUUUGGUUAGCUUCUGUUUUUCCCCUGAGAGAGCAGGUUUAGUUGGUGGGUGGAGGUGGGCUGUUGCAGCCUUCACACCUGCAACGGAUCAGGCUCAUCUGGGGAGCUUGAAGUAGCUGGUUGCCGGACAUCUGAUGCCUGGUACUCUCUAGAAGCCUCGUCUUCAUCUCUGCUAGCAAGGCUCCUAAUUAAUGCUCCUUAGCUCAAUAACCUUCUGGAUCUCAGCACGACUACCGGCACACCCUGGGCUCCUCGCUCCAGAAAUCCUGUCCACCCUCCAACAAACCGCUCUCUACAUCCACUGCUCAGACAGCCACCAUGGAUUCAGUUACUUCCCUCCAGCCUGGAUCUCCUUUCCCACCAUGGUGUGCCAGAUUGAACCACAGAAGCCUCUUCCAUAUCCUGUGCAACUGACUUCUUCAAAUAAACUGUUAAACUUUACAAGUCUCCUGAGAGUUUCUGCAUGUGGGUCAGAAAGCUAUCUAACACUAUGACAGUGGAUGUGCAACAUUUAACUAAAUAAUAUUAGGGACUUAUGUAGAUAUGUGUACUAUUUUCUUUGUGGUAAACACUAAAAAUAAAUAUAUUUAUGCCCAUAAUGAGUUCACACCAUAAAGUGUUACUGGUACAAGUGAAUGAUAUUCCUUUUAAUAUUUAUAAGGUUUCCAUUUAAAAGUAUCAUGGCAUUUGUUUUUAGCUAUUAAAACACUCUCAGUUAGUGCUUUUCAAAAUGAUGGUAACUUGAAUUGUUUGCAUCUUUCUAAUGUCGUUUUUUUUAGGGUUUGGUGGUUUCUUUGGUGCGACUUCUUUAUCUUCUAAUUUCCUCUGCUUCAUAUGUUUAGUUUUAAGGUGAUUAUUGGAAACUUAUCGACUCCCUCUGGUUUUAUAUUUACACUCUCAAACCGUGGCAAAUCGUCAACAAAAAGACACUCUUAUUUAAAAUGGCACAGUUUGGCCAUAAAAUGUGCUCAAUGACACUUUAAAGACAUCUGUAUUAGAUCCGUUAGAAUAUUUUUCAGAGUUCCUGCACAGUGUUGAAAAGCUUGAAAAAUGAGAAUUGGAUUUCAGUAUUUUCCAGGUCUACAAAGGUGUGGAAUAUUAAAAUAAAAGUGUGGAAAACUUA